UACGUAGGGCGCAAGCGUUGUCCGGAAUUAUUGGGCGUAAAGAGCUCGUAGGCGGCUUGUCACGUCGGGUGUGAAAGCCCGGGGCUUAACCCCGGGUCUGCAUUCGAUACGGGCAGGCUAGAUGUGGUAGGGGAGAUCGGAAUUCCUGGUGUAGCGGUGAAAUGCGCAGAUAUCAGGAGGAACACCGGUGGCGAAGGCGGAUCUCUGGGCCAUUACUGACGCUGAGGAGCGAAAGCGUGGGGAGCGAACAGG
rnacentral:rRNA from 1 species